GAAGCUCCGUAGUGGAUUUCGGCUGGGUGACCGAGAGAGACGGUGGCGGUGCACGAGACUCGGUGUCUUGUGGGCACUUGCUUUUGCUUGCCGGCAUCGCCUUGGUGGCGUAGUGCAAGACAGUGAUCGGAAGAGCCUCGGUGUCCUGUGGACGUAGGCGUUUGUGCCGAACCACGUUACAUGACCGUGUCUACUCGGGAGUUUGCAUCCCUCUUGCACUUACCUCUUUACUUACUAUAUUACGUUUCCGCAUUUACUUUAUCUUGUGUGCCUUUUCUUUCCUAGUUAGUUUGAUUAGGAUUGGCUAUAGGUUGCAAGUCUUUUAGGGGUAAGUAGAGAGUAGCAUAGAUAAACCUUAGUCAUAACUAGCAUGUGUAGGACGUGUUAGGUUUAUCUCAUGCAAAUAGAUUGAGCCCUAGGAUAGAAAGCGAUUAGCGACCCUAUUCACCCCCUCCCCCUCUAGGGUCGGACAUCCCGGUGAUCCUUGCAAGAAGACAUCUUUACAAGCAAUGGGAGAUGGAAGUUCAACAAUAAGGUCAGCAUGUGUAGAGUGUAAUUUCUUAUUGUUUGUAUGCUGAGAUGAAUGGUUUCUACAAAUACUUAUUUGAAAUUAUGUCCCCCAAAGGCAAUGUUGAAAAAUGCGUAGCAGUCAACUUUUUCGAAUGCUGUAAUGUCAGGGACCUUGUCCGACACACGUAGUCUUCUACUGUGAGUGUACAUGCAAUCUUUCUUUUCAUGUUUAUUUUAACUCAAUAAAGCUUAUGUGUUUAUCCUAUCAUGUAGGUGGCCUGCACAUCUUUAUAUUUGAUAGUUGGCUGCAUAGUUGUGGAACUCUAAAAUUUACAAUAUUUAAAGCUGCUUUAUUCAAAGACCAAUCUGAAUGCCAUUAUCUCAAAAUGGAUGAUCCUUUGUUGUCUAAUAUAUGGGCCAUGCCUUGUGUACAUGCCAUUGCCAUUGCCAUUUCUCGUUACUAUGCUCUUCUCCGUUCCUAGUAUAUGUUUGUUUGCUCAUUAAGUUAAUUGCAGACUGAACUUUAUGGAAGAGUUGCUUUGCAGUGGUCAAUCUGUCUUGAUUCAUUCUGCAAUUUUACUGAAAUUCUACUCACUGCAAUUACUGAACUAGUGUGUUUUUUUACUUGCAGUGCUGAUGUCAAAGAAGAAAUUUUGUGCUGAGAAUUGAGGAAUUAGGAAGUAGUUUAGUAAUGGAGCCUGAAAUGCUAUUGUCCAGUUUUUAGGGAGCUAUCUGAAUUUGUGGCCAGGUGGUCUGCAGCAUAUGCUACUACACGAUAGCUGUUCUUUUGGUGUGAACUGAUGCCAGUCUGAGUCUGAUAUUUGUGUGGACUGAUCCCAGUCUGAAUAUUUGUGUGAACGGUGUGAGAAUUUGUUAUCUGUGUAUUUAUUAUCUAUUAACUAAAAACAAGUGUCAAAUUAGAGCAGCAUGUUCAAGGAGGGUGAUGACUUUAUUAUUA